UACGGGGGGAGCAAGCGUUGUUCGGAUUUACUGGGCGUAAAGGGCGCGUAGGCGGCGCAACAAGUCAGCUGUGAAAUCUCCGGGCUCAACUCGGAGCGGCCAGCUGAUACUGUCGUGCUAGAGUGCGGAAGGGGCUACUGGAAUUCUCGGUGUAGCGGUGAAAUGCGUAGAUAUCGAGAGGAACACCUGUGGCGAAGGCGGGUAGCUGGGCCGACACUGACGCUGAGGCGCGAAAGCUAGGGGAGCGAACGGG
rnacentral:rRNA from 1 species